rnacentral:rRNA from 1 species
GACGAACGCUGGCGGCGUGCUUAACACAUGCAAGUCGAGCGGUAAGGCCCUUUCGGGGGUACACGAGCGGCGAACGGGUGAGUAACACGUGGGUGACCUGCCCUCAGCUCUGGGAUAAGCCUGGGAAACCGGGUCUAAUACCGGAUAUGACUCCAUGACGCAUGUUGUGGGGUGGAAAGCCUUGUGCGGCUGAGGAUGGGCCCGCGGCCUAUCAGCUCGUUGGUGGGGUGAUGGCCUACCAAGGCGACGACGGGUAGCCGGCCUGAGAGGGCGACCGGCCACACUGGGACUGAGACACGGCCCAGACUCCUACGGGAGGCAGCAGUGGGGAAUCUUGCGCAAUGGGCGAAAGCCUGACGCAGCGACGCCGCGUGAGGGAUGACGGCCUGUGUAAC